UACGUAGGGGGCAAGCGUUGUCCGGAAUCACUGGGCGUAAAGGGCGCGUAGGCGGCCGAUCAAGUCGGGGGUGAAAGCCUGUGGCUCAACCACAGAAUUGCCUUCGAUACUGUUUGGCUUGAGACCGGAAGAGGUAAGUGGAACUGCGAGUGUAGAGGUGAAAUGCGUAGAUAUCAGAAGGAACAUCAGUGGCGAAGGCGGCUUUCUGGACCAAUACUGACGAUCAGGUGCGAAAGCGUGGGGAGCAAACAGG
rnacentral:rRNA from 1 species